GGAACCUUAACAACACCCUUCGGCUCGCCGCUCGCCUUUCUCGCAUAUCACCUUCACCUCUCACACAGUUGCUUUCGGCUCGCCUUCAGCUCUUCUUGCCGUCUCCGGUCGUUCCCUUCCGCCUCAAUAGGUCAAAACUAAGAAAUGGGUGACAAGAAGAAGGCUGGUGCUAUUUUUGUGAGGCUUGUUUCAGCUGCAGGCACUGGAUUCUUCUACGUGGUGAAGAAGACAAAGAGGCUUCAAACUAGUCAGACAAAACUUGAGUUUCGGAAGCAUGAUCCUCGCGUCAAUCGCCAUGUUCUGUUCAAGGAGGAAAAAAUGAAGUGAUUGGAAAGCCCAGAUGAUCAACUACAGCAGGCUGUUCAUUGUCUAUUUAUAGCUUUACAUUAGUUGACUGCUAAACAUUUCAGUUGACCAGUCACUAUUUUGUGCAACUUCUUAAGAUUAGUUCAUUUCACGUUUAGAACGCCCCCAAUGAUUAUGUACUAGCCAUUUAGCAAUUUUAGCAAGAGAAAACUAAUAUGAUUUGGGAAUCUUCAUUAAGAAUCAAACAUCUUCUCUU